rnacentral:lncRNA from 1 species
AUGGGUGUCGCAUGUUAGGCGGCUUAACCUUGUCUAAUCAAGCUAAUCCGAAGUGGAUCCGCCACAGCUGGUACCAGAGCCGGUUUAGCAGUACAGAGAACACAACAAGCCCUAAACACUUCUUUGAAAAGAUAAAAGUUGCAAGAAACUUUUGAAAAAUCUCGUACGAUCGUUAAGGAUGGCUUUAGUGCAAGAGGCCCUAGUGGAUUUUGGGGUUGUUUUAGGUG